AAAUAGCACCUUUUACAAUCAAAUUAUUCUUUCACAGUAGAAUCAAGAUAUAAACAUCAAGGGACUGAAUUAUAUAUCAACCUGCACAGAUGUGAGAGGCCUUCAGAAAGCAUACGGGAAAAUGAGUACUGCACAAAAAAUACUUUUUGAAGUACCCCUUUGAUACUAUGUGUCAACUAAAUACAUCAAUUUUUUGUUUAGGAGAGAGUCCCCCCACCACCACCAAUUAUGCAGUGUUUCCUGCACUUGGGGAACUCGCAGAGGUCAGCACAUCUGGGGGGGCAACGGCUGAGCCUCGCCCUGGGAAAGCCACCUUCCUGAUCCUGGGAUUGCCCUGCCCAGAGUUUAAAUGGAGCAACAACACACGGAUCAGAAGCAGCCCCUGGAAUACAAGUUUCUAGCGGUUCGUUACAGCUUUAAGCCUGGCUGUAGAUGGCAAUGCGAGGAAAGAAAAAGGAAGCGGAAAGAAAAAAAAAAGAGGCAAUCAGAAAAAAACGGCACUGAGGCAAAGAAAAAGCUGCGGUACCUGCAAACCAAAAUUCCAGCCAAAAACCAUGCAAAAAUUACUGUAGGUGGAAACCAAGCAAAGUAAAUGCAAGAAUGAAAAUGGAAAUGCGGAAGCAGCAAUUACUUUCCCUCUAGAAUACCGAGGCCCAGGCCCACUCGACGUGAUUUUAGAAUGUUAAGUGUUACUAGAAUUCAGGGUAGACAUCUGUAGGGCGAAAAUAAAAAGAGCAAGUACACCUCCCUCCUCCAGUGGACCAGGUUCUUCUGGUUAGGGAGAAGCUAAUGAUUUUAGUAGUGACGGAAGCUGCGCUCGCCACAGCCCCGCCAGUCU